CUCUGAUCUGGUGGACUCUAAUCUGGUGGACUCUGAUCUGGUGGACUCUGAUCUGGCAGACUCACUAAACACAAAUGCAUCGUUUGUAAAUGAUGUCUGAGCAUCGGAGUGUGUUCAGCUCUUGCUGUUUAGUGUGCUGUACAGUGGUCCUAUCGACCUGCUGGCGCAGAGUAGACAGACAAGCAGCAGCCCACAGCCAGAUACAGACAGGAGGGCAGACAGGCAGGUGGCACAUAGCAGCCACAAAACAGACAAACAGACAGACAGACAGACAGACAGACAGACAGAAAGACAGACAGACAGACAGACAGACAGACAGACAGACAGACAGACAGACAGCGCCACACAACAGACAGUGGGCCUCGGAGCUUUACUAAUCCAGCCUCCUGCUGUUCACUGACAAAUACACUGUACACAAUACUUAGGCUUAGAUCGACAUCUAGUGGACAUUUAGUGUAACUGCAGAGGUCUUGGCAAAUACAUUUACAUGAUAUUUUAGUCAUUUAGCAGACGCUCUUAUCCAGAGCGACUUACAAAAGCAAUUAGGGUUAUAAGUGCCUUGCUCAAGGGAUCAUCGGCAGAUGUUUCACCUUGUCGGCUCAGGGAUUCAAACCGGCGACCUUUCGUUUACUGUCCCGACGUCUUUAACCUCUAGUAGAUUUUUUUUUCAAUCUCUGUGCUAUUUGAUGAUGAUAAAAUAUGUGGGAACAAGAAAAGUUCAUAUACCACUACUUAUAUGAGCAGUCACAGUAUUGAAGAAACACAUUUUCUACCUGAAAUCUUCUCUUGGAACGGUCGGUCGAGGCAUGGUUGAGAAAUGAACAUUCAGUUCUCUGGCAACACAGCUCCAGUGGACAUUUCUGCAGUCGGCAUUGCCAAUUGCAUGCUCCCUCAAAAACUUGAGACAUCUCUGGCAUUGUGUUGUGUGACAAAAACAUUUUAAAAGUGGUCAUUUAUUGUCCCCCCAGCACAAGGUUCACCUGUGUAAUGAUUGUUGCUGUUUAACCAGCUUCUUGGCAUGCCACACCUGUCACUAACAGGAAUCUAAAACAAAAUGGUGCACAACAUUUGAGAGAGAUAAUCUUAAUGUGCGUAUGGAAAAUUUCUGGGAUCUUUUAUUUCAGCUCAUGAAACAUGGGACACUUUACAUGUUUCGUUUAUAUUUUAGUUUAGUAUAGAUCAUUUUAAAUUUGUUUUAUACAUCAGUUGGGAUCUCUAUAAGCUACGAUAUGAGGUCAUAGAACUUUCAUGAAAGUGCAUCCUUGUAGCGGUGUGGGCUAAUAUAGUCCAAAUGUUUACUUCAGGGUAAGUUGAGAAAAUGACCUUGAGAUAUGUUGAGCCAAUGACCUUGGGAUAUGUUG
rnacentral:lncRNA from 1 species